UGGAAGUCCACACCCCAUAGCACUCGAAAGUGGGCUCGAGAGAAUCUGUCAACUUUGAACGUUCAAGUUUAUGGGAUUGUAGUUUCUUGGAGCCAGCAAGUACUUCCUGUUUGGAAUCCGAUGGAAGGCCGUCAAAUUUGAGGGAUGUGGAUGACCCACCUGGAGGAUAUAAAAGAGACACGCUCAAAUGAUGGGAAGAAAACUGAAGCAGAUCGUUAUAAGAUGAAACAUUAUCAUCACAAGAAAGGAAUGUCUUAAGGCUUGGAUAGAAACACACAGAUGCACUAGAGAAGAAACAGAAAUCCAUGAGGCUCCUCUGCACUGAAAUUCAAAAUGAGGGCAGCUGAAAACGCAAACUUGUGGCUCAAACCCUAAUGAAUAAUAAAGAGGAUGUUUUUGAUUUGAAUUCAUAAAACUUUUACCCCAGAGUUCAUGUUGUUCUUGUACAGACAUGCCAUACAGUGUAAAAUCGACCAUGGUGUUCUGGUUUAGACAAAUCUCAUUUUUGCCUCAAAUUUCACUUUUACAACUGAUUUUUAAGAAUGUCAUUUGCCCCUUUUGUUAAAGCAGAACUUUAAUGCUUAAAGAUAAGUGGUUUGUUCAUAAAGUAGCUCCGGUUGAGGAAGACUGUAAUGGCACCCCAAAUAAUAAGCAAGCUCUGAUGAAAGGUAAAACGGUUUAUUAGGUAGGAGAGGCAAUAAACAGUCUCUGGCAGGUAGUUGGCACAGCAGUAACCAGACAAGAAAAGAAAAAGUCACAGGAGGCCGUAGAUAUUAGUAAGGAGAGGCUCUGAGGGGGAUGGAGUCCUUCAGUAAAACUCUGCUGUUCUACUUCCUGUUGCAGUGAUGGUAAAUACAGUCACCGCAGGGUCAUCAAAUCCAUAGUCAAAGUGCAAACUCUCCAGAAAAACAGGUUGUGGCAAAAGCUCACAUGGUCAUGGACAGAAUAACAGGUCAGAUAAUGAUGAAGGCAGUAUUAGGCAUUAUAUGUCGCUUUGAAACAAAAGUUGAGACAAUCAGAUCCUCAUAAAGAGUCUCCCACAGGUUAGUGGAAUGACAGUGAUUAGAGCUGACAGGCAGGGAGGAGAGCAGAGAAACGACAAAAAACACGGCAACAGGGUUUAUCUACAAAAACAGUCUAAAUGUGACAAUAAAUUUAAAUUUCACAGCCAGUUUUAAAUGUGAGGUUGUGUUUAUUUUAUGCAGACUGCUUAAAGCAAGAAAGGUGGAUUAACUGUUAUGUUGUUGCUUUUUUGUUGUAUUUUUAACCAUACAGCAACACACAAAUCCAUUCUCCUCAUAUAUCUUGGAGAUAUUUGAUUUUCCUAACCACAUCGAUCGCCACAGGAAAACAUCUUUAAAGUUCCACUCCAACUAGGUUUUUAUUGUACAGUUUUUCCCAGUGGUCGGGCAGGUUUUAUUGGCACGGAUAGGUGAACAGGGUUGAAGCACAGCUAAAAGUCCACAAAGCUAAAUCAGGGUCAGGUAGGUCAAACACGAGCAUGACGGCAUCAGUGAACAACCAGUGAUCAGCGUCCAAGAAAGGGACGGGGCAGGCGGCAAACAAUCAGAGACAAAGACAAAGCGAGGUCAGAUGAAACAGAAGAUCAGGUCAUGAUGAGAACGCUCAGUGAUGCAGGUAGAGUGGCACAAACAAGACUUCACUCUGAAUAGGACUCAGUGCUCUGUCUAAAUACUGCCGGGAGUGAUUGCAGAUGGAAAACGGCAGCAGAGCUUCUGGGAGAUGGGAAGUGAAGUGUGGAGACACAGGAAGUGUUAGUACUCAGGAGAUGGAUCGCGAUGAUGGUGGAGGGGACCAAUUCAUGACACUUUUAAUUAUGAUAAUGCAGUUUUUUUCAGCCAAAUUCAUAAAGCCUUUGUCGGUUUUUAAGACACAUUUUCGGCACUGUGGUAGGAGUUCAUCUGAAGUGUUCAUCUGGUUUGUGGGCGGGACUGUUGGCACAGAAGUUAGCUGCAAUAAUUAGUUCCAUCAGCCCUUUAACACUAAAUCCUGUUACCAAAAAAACAAGCAUCAACAGAGUUAUCCAUCCAUACAGUUUUAAUCCGGAUAGCAGCUCAGACGAGGACAA